GACGCACUCUCAGAGUUUGAUCCUGGCUCAGGAUGAACGCUAGCUACAGGCUUAACACAUGCAAGGUCGAGGGCAGCAUGGGCUUAGCUUGCUAAGCCCGAUGGCGACCAGCGCACGGGUGAGUAACACGUAUCCAACCUUCCGGUAACUCCGGUAUAGCCUUUCGAAAGAAAGAUUAAUCCCGGAUAGUAUGGUGAUUCCGCAUGGUUUCUCCAUUAAAGGAUUCCGGUUACCGAUGGGGAUGCGUUCCAUUAGGCAGUUGGCGGGGUAACGGCCCACCAAACCUACGAUGGAUAGGGGUUCUGAGAGGAAGGUCCCCCACAUUGGAACUGAGACACGGUCCAA
rnacentral:rRNA from 1 species